UGUACCGACGGAUUGGUACAGGCGGUCAAGGAAGACUGCUCGAGGACAUCGCAGGAUGCGAUUCAUCAGGAUGAUGAACAAGGAUUGAAGGGAUUAUGGAAAAAAUGUGGGCGGGUCAUACCGCCCCUUUUUUC
rnacentral:sRNA from 1 species